AUACAGGGGGUGCGAGCGUUAAUCGGAAUUACUGGGCGUAAAGAGUACGUAGGCGGUUGCUUAAGUCAGAUGUGAAAGCCCCGGGCUCAACCUGGGAACUGCAUUUGAAACUGAGUGACUAGAGUUUAAGAGAGGGGAGUAGAAUUCCGGGUGUAGCGGUGAAAUGCGUAGAGAUCCGGAGGAAUACCAGUGGCGAAGGCGGCUCCCUGGCUUAAAACUGACGCUGAGGUACGGAAGCGUGGGUAGCAAACAGGAUUAGAUACCCCAGUAGUCC
rnacentral:rRNA from 1 species